UACGUAGGGGGCAAGCGUUGUCCGGAAUCAUUGGGCGUAAAGAGCGUGUAGGCGGUCCGGUCAGUCGGUUGUAAAAGUCAAGGGCUCAACCCUUGAAUGCCGGCCGAUACUGCCGGGCUAGAGUCCGGAAGAGGUGAGUGGAAUUCCUGGUGUAGCGGUGAAAUGCGCAGAUAUCAGGAGGAACACCAAUGGCGAAGGCAGCUCACUGGGACGGUACUGACGCUGAGACGCGAAAGCGUGGGGAGCGAACAGG
rnacentral:rRNA from 1 species